GCCGGGCUCGGUGGCAUGUGUCUGUAGUUCCAGCUACUUGGGAGGCUGAGGUGGGAGGAUCACUUGAGCCCAGGGGUUCUGGGAUUUAGUGAGCUAUGCCGAUUGAGUGUCCACACUAAGUUCGGCAUCAAUAUGGUGACCUCCUGGGAGUGGGGGACCACCAGAUUGCCUAAGGAGGGGCAAACCAGCCCAGAUUGGAAAUGGAGCAGGUCAAAACUCCCGUGCUAAUCAGUAGUGGGAUCAUGUCUGUGAAUAGCCACUUCACUCCAUCCUGGGCAACAUAGUGAGACCCCCAUCUCAA
ensembl:misc_RNA Metazoa_SRP Metazoan signal recognition particle RNA